UACCAAAAAAUAAUCCGUUAG
rnacentral:piRNA from 1 species